GACGAACGCUGGCGGCGUGCUUAACACAUGCAAGUCGAACGGAAAGGCCCUGCUUUUGUGGGGUGCUCGAGUGGCGAACGGGUGAGUAACACGUGAGUAACCUGCCCUUGACUUCGGGAUAACUUCAGGAAACUGGGGCUAAUACCGGAUAGGAGCUCCUGCUGCAUGGUGGGGGUUGGAAAGUUUCGGCGGUUGGGGAUGGACUCGCGGCUUAUCAGCUUGUUGGUGGGGUAGUGGCUUACCAAGGCUUUGACGGGUAGCCGGCCUGAGAGGGUGACCGGCCACAUUGGGACUGAGAUACGGCCCAGACUCCUACGGGAGGCAGCAGUGGGGAAUAUUGCACAAUGGGCGGAAGCCUGAUGCAGCAACGCCGCGUGCGGGAUGACGGCCUUCGGGUUGUAAACCGCUUUCGCCUGUGACGAAGCGUGAGUGACGGUAAUGGGCAAAGAAGCACCGGCUAACUACGUG
rnacentral:rRNA from 1 species